rnacentral:snoRNA from 1 species
AAAGCAAGCGUGAUGAAUCAAUUAGAUGUCUGAGAUGGAUUUUCCAUUCAUGAGUGUUAAAACCUUGAGGCAUUUAUAAAAAAAUUUUCUGACUUGGAAUUU